UGAACAGUGAUUUUUCAGGAC
rnacentral:piRNA from 1 species